rnacentral:rRNA from 1 species
AACGCUGGCGGCAUGCUUUACACAUGCAAGUCGAACGGUAACAGGUCUUCGGAUGCUGACGAGUGGCGAACGGGUGAGUAAUACAUCGGAACGUGCCUAGUAGUGGGGGAUAACUACUCGAAAGAGUAGCUAAUACCGCAUGAGAUCUACGGAUGAAAGCAGGGGACCUUCGGGCCUUGUGCUACUAGAGCGGCUGAUGGCAGAUUAGGUAGUUGGUGGGGUAAAGGCUUACCAAGCCUGCGAUCUGUAGCUGGUCUGAGAGGACGACCAGCCACACUGGGACUGAGACACGGCCCAGACUCCUACGGGAGGCAGCAGUGGGGAAUUUUGGACAAUGGGCGAAAGCCUGAUCCAGCAAUGCCGCGUGCAGGAUGAAGGCCCUCGGGUUGUAAACUGCUUUUGUACGGAACGAAAAGCCUGGGGCUAAUAUCCCCGGGUCAUGACGGUACCGUAAGAAUAAGCACCGGCUAACUACGUGCCAGCAGCCGCGGUAAUACGUAGGGUGCAAGCGUUAAUCGGAAUUACUGGGCGUAAAGCGUGCGCAGGCGGUUUUGUAAGACAGUGGUGAAAUCCCCGGGCUCAACCUGGGAACUGCCAUUGUGACUGCAAGGCUAGAGUGCGGCAGAGGGGGAUGGAAUUCCGCGUGUAGCAGUGAAAUGCGUAGAUAUGCGGAGGAACACCGAUGGCGAAGGCAAUCCCCUGGGCCUGCACUGACGCUCA